rnacentral:rRNA from 1 species
GACGAACGCUGGCGGCGUGCUUAACACAUGCAAGUCGAACGAAGAGCGAUGGAAGCUUGCUUCUAUCAAUCUUAGUGGCGAACGGGUGAGUAACGCGUAAUCAACCUGCCCUUCAGAGGGGGACAACAGUUGGAAACGACUGCUAAUACCGCAUACGAUCUAAUCUCGGCAUCGAGGAUAGAUGAAAGGUGGCCUCUACAUGUAAGCUAUCACUGAAGGAGGGGAUUGCGUCUGAUUAGCUAGUUGGAGGGGUAACGGCCCACCAAGGCGAUGAUCAGUAGCCGGUCUGAGAGGAUGAACGGCCACAUUGGGACUGAGACACGGCCCAGACUCCUACGGGAGGCAGCAGUGGGGAAUCUUCCGCAAUGGACGAAAGUCUGACGGAGCAACGCCGCGUGAGGGAUGACGGCCUUCGGGUUGGAAAGCUCUGUUAAUCGGGACGAAAGGCCUUCUUGCGAAUAGUGAGAAGGAUUGACGGUACCGGAAUAGAAAGCCACGGCUAACUACGUG